AUUUAGCUAAGUUUUUAAGUUGAAACAUGUCUUGAUAUCUUGGUUAAAUAAGUCAUUAGUGAGAAAGUAAGUGUGUAGCGAGAUCUUUUGAACAGAUAGAUGUAUUGUGUACUUCGAAGGUGUCCAAAUCACAGCUACAGAGAUUCUUGAGUUGUUCUUGAUCCGAUAAAUGAAAACUUUAUCUGGAAUGGUGUCUAGAUGCUUGUAUUAAUAUCGAAACUGUGGGGAAAAGUUUUAUGAUAUCUGUUGGAAUUCUUCUUUGCUGAGAGUCUCAGAAACAAGUAGAUGAAACCAGAAUUCAUGUCUUUCUCUCAUGGAGGUGGGAGACAAAUUGCUCUAUGGAAUCAUUAUGAGUUGAUUCCACUGAGACUGAUAAUAAGAGAACUAAAUGGAAUGACAAAAGUGAUAAGUAUAUGAGAUUUUGAGGAAAUCUCUUUAUUCUGUUGAGCGAAAUCCUCGUUGAGGAAAAUUCUCCCUUUAUAAAAGGAAGAGGAUAUAUUAAUAACAAUCAACUACUUCUAUAACUUGUUUAUCUAUUUAUUUUCUAACAUGGUAUCAGAGCAGUUCCUCCUUGGCGACAGCAUCGUGUGUUAGCCAAGCGACCACAGUAACACGUUGCAGAAAUCUCAUCUACUUAUCAAAAAGAACCAUUGAAGGUUCAUGGAUGCAUCUGACAUUGACCUCGGAAGCCUAGAGGUGGUGUGCAGGCUCAGCCACUUGGAGAUGCUUCAUGUAUCCAUCUGGCCUCAUUGCAGUCCAAUUGAUCAUCCUUUGCCACAGUAUUGAAGGCACUCGCAGGACCACCCACUUUGAAGAGGGGACCUGACUACCCAUUGUGUGUGAUCAUUAUUUCAAAGAAUGUGCAUCUCCUACAUGCAAAUGAAAGGGUAUGAAACAUGGAAAGCUGAGAAAAGCAGAAAGAGUAGUAGUGCAGAACAAGAGGUCAUCAGUGCAGAGCCUGAAAAAUCUAUGCAACUUCAUAUUCUUUCGUGUCUUUAGAAUGACAUUCAUUCCAUGAAAGAGAUAUGGUUGUCAUGGUUUCCCUUCUACACUGGAAAAUGUGAGAUUUAUCAUCUCUAUGAUGCUGGAAUACUCCCUUCCAUGACAGAGAAUUGUGUGCUGCAUGUUUCCCAUGUAUUUGUCCUCCUUGAAAUGAACUCCAUCAUUGCAAUCAUUUGCCAUGGU